rnacentral:rRNA from 1 species
UACGUAGGCAGCGAGCGUUGUUCGGAGUUACUGGGCGUAAAGAGUGCGUAGGCGGUUUUCUAAGUUUGGUGUGAAAUCUCCUCGCUCAACGGGGAGAGGCCAUUGGAAACGGUCGAGCUGGAGGGCAGUAGAGGUAGGCGGAAUUCCGGGUGGAGUGGUGAAAUGCGUAGAGAUCCGGAGGAACACCAGAGGCGAAGGCGGCUCACUGGCCCGGUACUGACGCUGAGGUGCGAAAGCGUGGGGAGCAAACAGG